GACGAACGCUGGCGGCGUGCUUAACACAUGCAAGUCGAACGGAAAGGCCCUGCUUUUGUGGGGUGCUCGAGUGGCGAACGGGUGAGUAACACGUGAGUAACCUGCCCUUGACUUUGGGAUAACUUCAGGAAACUGGGGCUAAUACCGGAUAGGAGCUCCUGCUGCAUGGUGGGGGUUGGAAAGUUUCGGCGGUUGGGGAUGGACUCGCGGCUUAUAAGCUUGUUGGUGGGGUAGUGGCUUACCAAGGCUUUGACGGGUAGCCGGCCUGAGAGGGUGACCGGCCACAUUGGGACUGAGAGACGGCCCAGACUCCUACGGGAGGCAGCAGUGGGGAAUAUUGCACAAUGGGCGGAAGCCUGAGGCAGCAACGCCGCGUGCGGGAUGACGGCCUUCGGGUUGUAAACCGCUUUCGCCUGUGACGAAGCGUGAGUGACGGUAAUGGGUAAAGAAGCACCGGCUAACUACGUG
rnacentral:rRNA from 1 species